rnacentral:misc_RNA from 1 species
GUGGUGUUUGGAUCGUCCCUGCCGGCAGGCGAUCCGCGUCGGUCAAGCGAGGUGGUAUGGAUCCCCAGAGGCCGGUUCUUGUGCUGCCUACCCCUUCAGGGGAAGCGGGCCACUUUCGGCGCAAGCCUCCAUCCGGCGCCCUCCGACGGGCGCAGGAGGACAACGGAGCACCCCCCGCGUUCCACCGAGCCUCAGCCGGUCGCGUGGCGCGCGGGGACGUGCGAUGCUCUCGGACCCAGCGAACGCCGUGGGCGAGGACUCACGUCCCAGUCCCUAUCGAAAGCUCCGACAGAAUGCAAGACGGCCGCUCCCGACCCCCGACCGCCCCGGCGGCUCAGGGGCGAGGCGCGGCGUCGCGGAGGAAUGCUACCUGGUUGAUCCUGCCAGUAGUCAUAUGCUUGUCUCAAAGAUUAAGCCAU